CAGGCUUAACACAUGCAAGUCGAGGGGCAGCACGGAGGGAGCAAUCCUUUCGGUGGCGACCGGCGGAUGGGUGAGUAACACGUAUGUAACCUACCUGUUACAGGGGGAUAACCCGGAGAAAUCCGGACUAAUACCGCAUACGUUCUUUAUUACACAAGUGAUGAAGAAGAAAGUAGCAAUACGGUAACAGAUGGACAUGCGGUCCAUAGUUAGUUGGCGGGGUAACGGCCCACCAAGGCGACGAUGGAUAGGGGUUCUGAGAGGAAGGUCCCCCACAUUGGUACUGAGACACGGACCAAACUCCUACGGGAGGCAGCAGUGAGGAAUAUUGGUCAAUGGGCGCGAGCCUGAACCAGCAACGCCGCGUGAGUGAAGAAGUAUUUCGGUAUGUAAAGCUCUGUCAGCAGGGAAGAUAAUGACGGUACCUGACCAAGAAGCCCCGGCUAACUACGUGCCAGCAGCCGCGGUAAUACGUAGGGGGCAAGCGUUAUCCGGAUUUACUGGGUGUAAAGGGAGCGCAGGCGGCAGGGCAAGUCAGAUGUGAAAGCCCGGGGCUCAACCCCGGGACUGCAUUUGAAACUGUCCGGCUGGAGUGCAGGAGAGGCAGGCGGAAUUCCUAGUGUAGCGGUGAAAUGCGUAGAUAUUAGGAAGAACACCAGUGGCGAAGGCGGCUUACUGGACGGUAACUGACGUUGAGGCUCGAAGGCGUGGGGAGCAAACAGGAUUUAGAUACCCUGGUAGUCCACGCGGGUAAAGGAUGAUUGCUAGGUGUAGGUGGGUAUGGACCCAUCGGUGCCGCAGCUAACGCAGUAAGCAAUCCACCCUGGGGAGUACGUUCGCAAGAAUGAAACUCAAAGGGAAUUGACGGGGACCCGCACAAGCGGUGGAGCAUGUGGUUUAAUUCGAAGCAACGCGAAGAACCUUACCAAGUCUUGACAUCUGGAUGACAGAGCAUGUAAAGUGUUUUCUCUUCGGAGCAUCCAAGACAGGUGGUGCAUGGUUGUCGUCAGCUCGUGUCGUGAGAUGUUGGGUUAAGUCCCGCAACGAGCGCAACCCUUAUUCCUAGUAGCCAGCGGAUAAAGCCGGGCACUCUAGGGAGACUGCCGGGGAUAACCCGGAGGAAGGUGGGGAUGACGUCAAAUCAUCAUGCCCCUUAUGAUUUGGGCUACACACGUGCUACAAUGGCGUAAACAAAGGGAAGCGAACCUGCGAGGGGGAGCGAAACCCAAAAAUAACGUCCCAGUUCGGACUGCAGUCUGCAACCCGACUGCACGAAGCUGGAAUCACUAGUAAUCGCGGAUCAGAAUGCCGCGGUGAAUACGUUCCCGGGUCUUGCACACAAGGCCCGUCA
rnacentral:rRNA from 1 species